UCCCUGAUGGUCCAGUGGCUAAGACUCCUCACUUCCAGUGCAGGGGGCCCAGGUUCGAUCCCUGGUGGGGGAA
rnacentral:tRNA from 1 species